rnacentral:rRNA from 1 species
UACAGAGGUCUCAAGCGUUGUUCGGAUUCAUUGGGCGUAAAGGGUGCGUAGGUGGCGGGGUAAGUCAGGUGUGAAAUCUCGGAGCUCAACUCCGAAACUGCACUUGAUACUGCCUUGCUCGAGUACUGGAGAGGAGAUUGGAAUUUACGGUGUAGCAGUGAAAUGCGUAGAUAUCGAGAGAAACACCAGUGGCGAAGGCGAGUCCCUGGACAACACCUGACACUGAGGCACGAAAGCUAGGGGAGCAAACAGG